AUUGCCCUAGUAACGGCGAGUGAAGCGGCAACAGCUCAAAUUUGAAAUCUGGCGCAAGCCCGAGUUGUAAUUUGUAGAGGAUGCUUCUGGGUAGCGGCCGGUCUAAGUUCCUUGGAACAGGACGUCAUAGAGGGUGAGAAUCCCGUAUGUGACUGGCUUGCACCCUCCACGUAGCUCCUUCGACGAGUCGAGUUGUUUGGGAAUGCAGCUCUAAAUGGGAGGUAAAUUUCUUCUAAAGCUAAAUACCGGCCAGAGACCGAUAGCGCACAAGUAGAGUGAUCGAAAGAUGAAAAGCACUUUGGAAAGAGAGUUAAAAAGCACGUGAAAUUGUUGAAAGGGAAGCGCCCGCAACCAGACUUUGCGGCAGUGUUCGGCCGGUCUUCUGACCGGUUUACUCGCUGUCGUGAGGCCAUCAUCGUCUGGGACCGCUGGAUAAGACCUUAGGAAUGUGGCUCCCCUCGGGGAGUGUUAUAGCCUCUGGUGAUGCAGCGCGUCUCGGGCGAGGUCCGCGCUUCGGCAAGGAUGAUGGCGUAAUGGUUGUCGGCGGCCCGUCUUGAAACACGGACCAAGGAGUCUAACAUCUAUGCGAGUGUUCGGGUGUCAAACCCCUACGCGUAAUGAAAGUGAACGGAGGUGGGAACUUUUUGUGCACCAUCGACCGAUCCUGAUGUCCUCGGAUGGAUUUGAGUAAGAGCAUAGCUGUUGGGACCCGAAAGAUGGUGAACUAUGCCUGAAUAGGGUGAAGCCAGAGGAAACUCUGGUGGAGGCUCGCAGCGGUUCUGACGUGCAAAUCGAUCGUCAAAUUUGGGUAUAGGGGCGAAAGACUAAUCGAACCAUCUAGUAGCUGGUUCCUGCCGA
rnacentral:rRNA from 1 species